UACGUAGGUGACCAGCGUUGUCCGGAUUUACUGGGCGUAAAGAGCGCGCAGGCGGUCGUUCAAGUCGAGUGUGAAAGCCCCCGGCUCAACUGGGGAGGGUCACUCGAUACUGAUCGACUUGAAGGCAGGAGAGGGAAGCGGAAUUCCCGGUGUAGUGGUGAAAUGCGUAGAUAUCGGGAGGAACACCAGUGGCGGAGGCGGCUUCCUGGCCUGUUCUUGACGCUGAGGCGCGAAAGCUAGGGGAGCAAACGGG
rnacentral:rRNA from 1 species